rnacentral:tRNA from 1 species
GGGCCCGUUGCAUAGCCUGGUUAUUGCGCCGCUCUGAUAAGGCGGAGGCCCGGAGUUCAAUCAGCAGAGGACUCC